rnacentral:piRNA from 1 species
UUNGGUUAAAGAGAAACUGCAAGCCAGAGU